UGUCCUUCUGUAGCAUAUGGGAUAAUCUAGUGUUCUUUGGAGUGGGGUGUUGAACUACUGUAUUUAGUCAGGUCAAGUCAAUGAUGCCAUGGAUCAGCAAAAGCUUGGAAAAGUGACUUGACUAAAUACAGUGGUUAUGGUCUCUUUCAAUUCAAUAGACCACUAGAUUAUCUUGACGUUUUGAGAAGGUUGAAUGAUGAGCUUAUUUACCUCAAGAAUGCAAAGUGUUAUGGGUUGCUGGAAAAAUGUAAAAGCUGCUGUUCAAUUGAUCAUGCUUUUCUUAAUACAUCAUUUUCUGCUAUUUUGAAUGUUGCAUGUACUAAUUUCUACUCAGAAGUAAACAACAACUGAUAGGUCUUUCAUUGAAUUAUGUUCACUUAAUAUCAGGCAAACAAGAAGCAAGCAAUCCCACAGGACAACUGAGAUCAAUGGAGGGGUCAGAUACAGCUAGAUCAGGGCAAACAAGAAGCACAUAGACACUGAAAGAUCAGUGAAGGAAGUUAAAUACAGCAGGCAGGAUUUCUCAGGGACCAGACAAUUGAUGAAAGAUAAAGGCAAAGGUAAAGUAAAUACACUGUGGAGUGUUAGGACACUAAAGACAGACCUACAAGAAGUAUGCAAGGGACCAAAGUAAGAUUGAUUGAGAGAUUUUUUCAAACCAAAAAGUAGGACGUGUAGGAUAGGUUUUUUUUGUGGAAUUAUCGUUAGGAUUAGCGAUGUUUUCCUUACAAUUAAAUGGAAAACGACGGCUAUCAAAAAAUGAACUGGCCCGAAAAAAUGAUUUACAGUUAGGUUUUGUAGCAAAUGUUUCCGCCAGCUUUGCUUUACAAAUUUUAACCCAGUUUAAUCCAGGUUAAAUCUUUCGUCUGUGUUCACGAUGCGAGAGCUUGGUGGAUUGUGUGACUGACGCGUACGUGACUCUUGAAAAUCAGUGCCGUUGCGUUACACAAGGAGCCGUUGAGAAUACUGUAAUAAGACUUUGUGCGGGAAUUUCAAUAUCCAGCUUCACAACAGGAGAUUCAACUGUUAAUUUAGCAAAAUUAUAAAGAUUGUGAAGUGCCAUUUGAUAUUUUGUUGGCUUGUUUAGUCAAGCAGCAAAGCAGCAGGUUACCUAGAGAAUCUUUAUUUUCUUUAUUUUCUGAGUAACUAGUCAAAAUACAGCAACAUUUCAUGAAUUUGAAUAAUUCCCGUGCUGAACAUAUCGACAUUCUCAACGGUCGUUAGUGUAACGUAGCACCACUGUUGUUCAAUAGUCUCGUACGUUUCUAUCAUGAUUCACCGGCUUCUCGCAUCGUGAGCUUUGUAAUUUUUUGGCUUUGAUUUUCCUGAGAAGCAAAUUUUUGUAAUUAGCCUUCGUGUUUAGAAUCACAACGUUUUGCUAGCUUUCCUUCGCAGACCAAAAUUUUGUACAAAUAUUUUUCCUCUUGCUUGUUAUUAAAUGUUUUCUAAACACUGUCUUGGCGGCCUAAAUUUACUUUAAGGGUAACCCAUGUCAAAAUUUUUAAUUUUCCCGCCAAAAAACUUAGAAAAAAUAUGGGCGCCUAGAAUACGCA
rnacentral:lncRNA from 1 species